AAUGCCGCGUGCAGGAGGAAGCCCUUCGGGGUGUAAACUGCUGUCAGGGGUUAGCAAGCAGAGGGUGCGAAUAGCGCCCCGCGUUGAGCCGCCCAGAGGAAGCCUCGACUAACUCUGUGCCAGCAGUCGCGGUAAUACAGAGGAGGCAAGCGUUGUUCGGAAUCACUGGGCUUAAAGCGGGUGUAGGCGGCCACGAAAGUGUUUUGUGAAAUCCCACGGCUCAACCGUGGAAUUGCAGGGCAAACUACGUGGCUUGAGGCCGGUAGAGGUGCCUGGAACUCUAGGUGGAGCGGUGAAAUGCGUAGAUAUCUAGAGGAACGCCGGAGGCGAAAGCGGGGCACUGGGCCGGUUCUGACGCUGAGACCCGAAAGCGUGGGGAGCAAACAGGAUUAGAUACCCUGGUAGUCCACGCCGUAAACAAUGCACACUAGACGUCGGAGGUACUGACACCGUCGGCGUCGGAGCAAAAGUGCUAAGUGUGCCGCCUGGGGAGUACGGCCGCAAGGCUA
rnacentral:rRNA from 1 species